CCUACGGGAGGCAGCAGUGAGGAAUAUUGGUCAAUGGACGCAAGUCUGAACCAGCCAUGCCGCGUGCAGGAAGACGGCUCUAUGAGUUGUAAACUGCUUUUGUACGAGGGUAAACGCAGAUACGCGUAUCUGUCUGAAAGUAUCGUACGAAUAAGGAUCGGCUAACUCCGUGCCAGCAGCCGCGGUAAUACGGAGGAUUCAAGCGUUAUCCGGAUUUAUUGGGUUUAAAGGGUGCGUAGGCGGUCGGAUAAGUUAGAGGUGAAAUCCCGAGGCUCAACUUCGGAAUUGCCUCUGAUACUGUCGGGCUAGAGAGCAGGAGGGGUAGGCGGAAUGUGUGGUGUAGCGGGGAAAUGCUUAGAGAUUAUGAAGAACACCGAUUGCGAAGGCAGCUUACCAAGCUACUACUGACGUUGAGGCACGAAAGCGUGGGGAGCAAACAGGAUUAGAUACCCCUGUAGUC
rnacentral:rRNA from 1 species